AUACGGAGGGUGCAAGCGUUGUUCGGAAUUAUUGGGCGUAAAGAGCAUGUAGGCGGACUGUUAAGUCUGGUGUGAAAGCCCGGGGCUCAACCCCGGAAGUGCAUUGGGUACUGGCAGUCUUGAGUAUGGGAGAGGAAAGUGGAAUUCCGAGUGUAGGAGUGAAAUCCGUAGAUAUUCGGAGGAACACCAGUGGCGAAGGCGGCUUUCUGGACCAAUACUGACGCUGAGAUGCGAAAGCGUGGGGAGCGAACAGGAUUAGAUACCCUAGUAGUCC
rnacentral:rRNA from 1 species